rnacentral:rRNA from 1 species
UACAGAGGGGGCAAGCGUUGUUCGGAAUUACUGGGCGUAAAGGGCGCGUAGGCGGCCUGCUAAGUCGAACGUGAAAUCCCUGGGCUCAACCCAGGAACUGCGUCCGAUACUGGUUGGCUUGAAUCCGGGAGAGGGAUGCGGAAUUCCAGGUGUAGCGGUGAAAUGCGUAGAUAUCUGGAGGAACACCGGUGGCGAAGGCGGCAUCCUGGACCGGCAUUGACGCUGAGGCGCGAAAGCGUGGGUAGCGAACAGG